ensembl:lncRNA
UAUCUCUUGAUGCUUGAAGAGGCAGACUGAGGACAAAUAAGAGCUUCUAACUUAACUGGGGUAGCAAAUUUAUGAAUCAUUGUCCCAAGGGUAAAGAUUGUAGGAACUCAAAUUACAAACAGGUACACCAAAGGACUAGGUAAAUUAAUGGAUCACAGGCACAGAAGCGAUUCCUGGGUCUUGUUUAUUUUGUUUUUUGUUUUUUAAGCAGGGAUAACCCCUUAGGCUCUGGGCUGCUUUUACAAAGUAUUAGAAGGAAAUUGCCACCUCUUGUGGAUAAUAUUAAACCUCGGACCAUGCACACUUAGCAGUGGAGAGGUCAUUCCAGAGAUAUCACACUCACCGAGUUUACAGGCAAAAGAAGAAAAUCCCAAGAAAAGGGUGGCGGGGAGCAAAGCAAAGACAAAAUCCUUCUCCUGACUGCUUGAGCCCUGCCUAUUCCCUGAGGAUUAAACUCUGAACGCGUCCCUCACACGGAAAGGACCACAGCUUCCAGGCAAGGCAUUACACAGUCCUUGGCCUCAAUAAACUUUUCCCACUCAUAACUCUACCUGCUAUCCAGAGGACCCAGACUGACAUCCAAGGCAUUUGCUGGGUAAAUGAAAUAACCGAUUUCCAAGGCUCACCACUUUUAAAGAUGCUUAAAGACAAUUCACGGCAGACAUUAUAUUAUGUGUGAAUGUGAGUCUUGCUCUUCUACCUUCUACCACCGCACAAUGAGGCAGGAAGCUCUCCCCAGAUGCAGCUCCUUGACUUUGGACUUGCCAGACCCCAGAACUCUAAGGAUAAAUCUCUUUUGUAAAUGAAUUACUUAAUCUCAGGUAUUCUGUAUGGCAGCAAACAAAGGACUAAGACACCGUGUGAGACUUGAUUUUCUUCAUAUACUUCAACCAAAAUAACAUCUUGUAACAGACUGAAUGAGAAGCAGAGAGAUGUGAAAAUUCAGCUAUUUUUCUACUGAGCCUGACAUUAAAGAGGUUUUCAAAAUGUAAAAGCAGUGCUGCUGUUUUCACUGA